rnacentral:lncRNA from 1 species
ACCGCUCCACCAUUGAGGAAGGGUGAAAAGAGCAUCCCCGUCCCGGCCCCUGCACGGGGGGUGCGCAGCCGUGUCCCUGUCCCUUGCACGGUGGCGCUCCCGGCGGCAGGAGCGCGCACUCCGCCAGUCGGCGCCCUUCCGCGGUUGCUCCCGUGUUAUCAGUUGAGAUUCGGUUCCGCUUCGCUUUUGACACGGUCCGCGCUCCGCGUAUCAUGGAUUUGAUUUUGUGGUUAUGUCCGGUCGCGAGUGAUGGUAAUUUCACGUUGUUCUCUAUGAAUUAGGUAUCCCGUCCGAGUGUUUGGAUAUGGUGCAUUUUUAUGAAUAGUGGUGCGGGUUUGGUGAGUGGUAUUUUUGUGGGUUCGUGCGUAGCAGGCUCAUGAUACUGGUGCUACUCUCGCCAAGGUUUUCCGCUGAGUUUGGAGUCCUCCGUCCAUUCUGAAAGACCACGCCAUGAAAGCGCGACGGAUAAUUUUGUGGCUCCUGCGAAUCAUGAUAUGGCGGUGGAAAAUCGAUCUCACAGGAGCCUGUCCGUUCAAAAGCCACUGGUCUGGUCGAUGGUUUCAGUCGCAAGUGCCGCAUCAUAUCGUGAUCAACGGGUCCACGUUCGACACGAAAGGCCUUUGCAUAGAGUCGAAAGGAGACAAGUUCAUCAUCGAAGAUAGGUCGGAAAACUGUUUUUCGGUGCGUUGUGAUACAUGAAAAGCAUCCAAAUGUUCUGCAGUAUAAAGAAACGUCGGCGUGCUACAACAAGGAGCCUUUGGACAAGCUGUGCAGUCAGAUCUCGG